rnacentral:rRNA from 1 species
GACAGAGGUCUCAAGCGUUAGGCGGAAUCACUGGGCUUAAAGCGUGUGUAGGCGGACUUCUAAGUGCCUUGUGAAAUCCCUGGGCUCAACCUGGGAACGGCAUUCGAGACUGUGUUGCUGGAGUACGGAAGAGGAGGGCGGAAUUCCCGGUGUAGCGGUGAAAUGCGUAGAUAUCGGGAGGAACAUCAGUGGCGAAGGCGGCCCUCUGGUCCAGUACUGACACUCAAGUGC